rnacentral:lncRNA from 1 species
GCACUCCGCAGCCAGAGACUUCAACCACCACAUGUUUAGGCAAGAACUGCAUCUGAGUCACCACAUUCGUUCUUGCCAGAGCUUUCUGCCUAGUGGAGACCACGGCUGGAUGUGUUGUCUGGGAGGCAGCUGGUAGACGCGGCUUACUUGAACAGUGCGUGCAAGGAAUCCUUGUGCCCAUAUAAAGUUGUACAGUCUUCUUGGAAUGCCCAUCAUGACUAAAUGGCUCCCUGUUCAAGUCAAGAGGACCCUGUCACCUGCAAUUCUACCCAUGCACGUCUACCUAGUCCUUCAUUGGCUAGAAGAACACACUGUUUGAAAAUGAAGAGUUUUGAAACAAAAUCCAACCUUGCCAAGUUAAUUGCAUCCAUUAUUUUUGGGUGCAAGUGGAUCCUUAAAGCAAUGCAUACUUUCAAUUCACUAAGUACUUGCUUAAUCUUUCUACUUAGCUUAAUCUUUUCUGAAUGAUAGAACAAAUUUUUGCGUUUCACUUCUUGAAAGUGUUUUUAAUCACUUUCUACCUUCCAUGACUGUGCAGACCAAUUUUCUGCUCAGACCAGAUUUUAUACAAGCAGGUUUAAGUGUAACAGCUUCACAGUCUCUGUCCGUAUUCUUCCUUCACAGUCUAAAAAAAAAAUAAAAAAAUUUAAACCUUGAAAAAUGUUAUGACA